GGGGUCAUGGUGUAGCAUGGUCUAGCAUCCUUCGCUUGGGACGAUGUGACUCUAGUUCAAAUCUAGAUGACCCCACCA
rnacentral:tRNA from 1 species